rnacentral:rRNA from 1 species
AGCCUUUAGCAAAACAAGUAUUAAAGGUGACGCCUGCCCAGUGAAAUUUUAACGGCCGCGGUAUCCUAACCGUGCAAAGGUAGCGUAAUCACUUGUCUUAUAAAUAAAGACCCGUAUGAAUGGCUAAAUGAAUAUUUAACUGUCUCCUUUAACUAAUCAGUGAAACUGAUCUCUCAGUACAAAAGCUGAAAUAUAAACAUAAGACGAGAAGACCCCGUGGAGCUUUAAACUUUUAACAAGAUAGAACAAAACAGGUAUUUAUGAUAAAAAGUUUUUAGUUGGGGCGACUUUGGAGUAAAACUAAACCUCCAAAAAAGGCAUCGCCUAUUCAAGGCUAACAAGCCAAACUAUAAAGACCCAGCACAUACUAACGCUGAUCAACGAACCAAGUUACCCCGGGGAUAACAGCGCCAUCUUCUUCAAGAGUUCAUAUCGACAAGAAGGUUUACGACCUCGAUGUUGGAUCAGGACACCCAAAUGGUGCAGCCGCUAUUAAAG